rnacentral:rRNA from 1 species
GACGAACGCUGGCGGCGCGCCUAACACAUGCAAGUCGAACGGUGCUGCGAGAAGCUUGCUUGUCUUAGCUUAGUGGUGAACGGGUGAGUAACGCGUGAGUAACCUGCCCUGGCGUGGGGGACAACAGUUGGAAACGACUGCUAAUACCGCAUAAGCCCACGAUCCGGCAUCGGAUUGAGGGAAAAGGAUUUAUUCGCUUCAGGAUGGACUCGCGUCCAAUUAGAUAGUUGGUGAGGUAACGGCCCACCAAGGCGAGGAUUGGUAGCCGGACUGAGAGGCUGAACGGCCACAUCGGGACUGAGACACGGCCGAGACUCCUACGGGAGGCAGCAGUGGGGGAUAUUGCACAAUGGGGGAAACCCUGAUGCAGCUACGCCGCGUGGAGGAAGAAGGUUUUCGGAUUGUAAACUCCUGUCGUUAGGGACGAUAAUGACGGUACCUAACAAGAAAGCACCGGCUAACUACGUG